rfam:Medicago truncatula strain A17 chromosome 1, whole genome shotgun sequence.
AACCGUGUGAUGAUGACAUAGCAAACUAUUGUUUCGCCUUUUACUAAAGAAUAGCGUAUCAACGUCACAUUUUGCGGCAUAUGCUAGUUUUUGGAAGAGUCAUCUUUUUGGAGGGCU